CCGUUUGAGAGAAGGGAUGACACAGUAGGAUAAGCUAAGCACACUGUUGGUUAUGUGUGCCCAAGCAUUGAGGCAGUCAAAGUAGGCAAAUCCGCUUUGAUAAUGCUGGGAUGUGAUGGGGAGCGAAAUUUAGUAGCGAAGUAGCUGAUUUCACACUGUCAAGAAAAGUCUCUAUCGAGGUUAAAGGUACCCGUACCGCAAACCGACACAGGUGGGUGAGGAGAGUAUCCUAAGGCCAGCGAGAGAACUGUUGUUAAGGAACUCGGCAAAAUGACCCCGUAACUUAGGGAUAAGGGGUGCCACCAUCAGGUGGCCGCAGAGAAUAGGCCCAAGCGACUGUUUACCAAAAACAUAGGUUUCUGCUAAGUCGCAAGACGAUGUAUAGGAGCUGACGCCUGCCCGGUGCUGGAAGGUUAAGGGGAUCUGUUAGAGCAAUCGAAGCAGUGAACUUAAGCCCCAGUAAACGGCGGCCGUAACUAUAACGGUCCUAAGGUAGCGAAAUUCCUUGUCGGGUAAGUUCCGACCCGCACGAAAGGCGUAACGAUUUGGGCACUGUCUCAACAACAGACUCGGUGAAAUUGUAAUUCCGGUGAAGAUGCCGGAUACCUGCGACAGGACGGAAAGACCCCAUGGAGCUUUACUGUAGCUUGACAUUGGGUCUUGGUACUACAUGUACAGGAUAGGUGGGAGGCUUUGAAACCAGGACGCCAGUUUUGGCGGAGCCAUCCUUGGGAUACCACCCUUGUAGUACUGGGACUCUAACCAUAGGCCAUGAAUCUGGUCUUGGGACACUGUCAGGUGGGCAGUUUGACUGGGGCGGUCGCCUCCCAAAAGGUAACGGAGGCGCUCAAAGGUUCUCUCAGUACGGUCGGAAAUCGUACGUAGAGUGUAAAGGCAAAAGAGAGCUUGAUUGCAAGACAUACAGGUCGAGCAAGGAUGAAAAUCGGACUUAGUGAUCCGGUGGUUCUGCGUGGAAGGGCCAUCGCUCAACGGAUAAAAGCUACCCUGGGGAUAACAGGCUUAUCUCCCCCAAGAGUCCACAUCGACGGGGAGGUUUGGCACCUCGAUGUCGGCUCAUCACAUCCUGGGGCUGUAGUAGGUCCCAAGGGUUGGGCUGUUCGCCCAUUAAAGUGGUACGCGAGCUGGGUUCAGAACGUCGUGAGACAGUUCGGUCCCUAUCCGUCGCAGGCGUAGGAAAUUUGAGAAGACCUGUCCUUAGUACGAGAGGACCGGGAUGGACG
rnacentral:rRNA from 1 species